rnacentral:rRNA from 1 species
UACAGAGGGGGCAAGCGUUGUUCGGAAUUACUGGGCGUAAAGGGCGCGUAGGCGGCCUGUUAAGUCGAACGUGAAAUCCCCGGGCUCAACCCGGGAACUGCGUCCGGUACUGGCAGGCUUGAAUUCGGGAGAGGGAUGUGGAAUUCCAGGUGUAGCGGUGAAAUGCGUAGAUAUCUGGAGGAACACCGAUGGCGAAGGCAAUCCCCUGGGCCUGCACCGACGCUCAUGCACGAAAGCGUGGGGAGCAAACAGG